GAUGAACGCUAGCUACAGGCUUAACACAUGCAAGUCGAGGGGCAGCAUGGUCUUAGCUUGCUAAGGCCGAUGGCGACCGGCGCACGGGUGAGUAACACGUAUCCAACCUGCCGUCACUUGGGGAUAACCUUGCGAAAGUAAGACUAAUACCCAAUGACGUCUCUAGAAGACAUCUGAAAGAGAUUAAAGAUUUAUCGGUGAUGGAUGGGGAUGCGUCUGAUUAGCUUGUUGGCGGGGUAACGGCCCACCAAGGCGACGAUCAGUAGGGGUUCUGAGAGGAAGGUCCCCCACAUUGGAACUGAGACACGGUCCAAACUCCUACGGGAGGCAGCAGUGAGGAAUAUUGGUCAAUGGACGAGAGUCUGAACCAGCCAAGUAGCGUGCAGGAAGACGGCCCUAUGGGUUGUAAACUUCUUUUAUAAAGGAAUAAAGUCGGGUAUGGAUACCCGUUUGCAUGUACUUUAUGAAUAAGGAUCGGCUAACUCCGUGCCAGCAGCCGACGG
rnacentral:rRNA from 1 species